rnacentral:lncRNA from 1 species
ACCAAAUCAUGUAUUACUCUUUUCUGCAUACAUUUUAGUGGUAAUUUUAAGAUUCUUAUCUCUAAAAAAGCUCAUAUUUAUUCUGUAUUUGUCAUUUGACUGACCUAAUUUAAUAUUAUUCUAGGUGAUACAGAGUUUAAAUUAAAAUCAACUAGUUCUAAAAGAGCUGAAACCAAAAGUGUCCAUCUUUCUAUGAGAGAAAGAUUUAUAUUUUUCACUUCCUCCUAAAAGUAGAAAC